rnacentral:tRNA from 1 species
GGGCAGUAGCUCAGUGGUAGAGUGCUCACCAGGCAUGCAUGAGGCACUGGGUUCGAUCCUCAGCCCUA